rnacentral:rRNA from 1 species
UACAUAGGGACCAAGCGUUGUCCGGAAUCAUUGGGCGUAAAGAGCGUGUAGGCGGCUUGUUAAGUCUUGCGUGAAAUCUCGGGGCUCAACCCCGAGCGGUCGUGAGAAACUGGCAGGCUAGAGUGCGGGAGAGGAGAGUGGAAUUCCUGGUGUAGCGGUGAAAUGCGCAGAUAUCAGGAAGAACACCCGUGGCGAAGGCGCUCUCUGGAACGCAACCUGACGCUGAGACGCGAAAGCGUGGGGAGCAAACAGG